ensembl:lncRNA
AAACCUCACCAGAGGCUUCUUGCAAUGCCAUCUGGGCUGAUGUUACUUAUCCAGCUGUAUUUCCUAAAUCUUUAAUUAGCAACAGGUUUUUUGUGUGAGGACAGAAUGCAACCCCUGGGCUAUUUCACAGGUCAGUGAGCCUCACACGCUCCUGGGGAGGCUUGGUUCCAAAUCCGUUCUCUGCGUACUCUUCUUCCGCAACUCGUUGGAAUCAGACAAGGAAACAAAUUACUCUGAUGCCUCCAAAGUGAAAGGAAAGGUCAUUUGACUGAGAAAAUCCUAAUCUCCAUACAAUUCCUUCCACAAAAGCAGUCCAGGGAUUAAGAAUCCACCUGCCAAUGCGGAGAACAUGGGUUCGAUCGCUGCUCGGGGAAGAUUUCACGUGCUGCAGAGCAGCUAAGCCCGUGCUCUGCAACAAGAGAAGCCACCACCGCAAGGAUACAGUGCAAGACAACGAGGGAGUAGCCCUGCUCAGCGCAGCUAGAGGAAGCCCCACGCAGCAAGGAAGGCCCAGCGCAGCCAAAAACAAAUAAAUACAUAAAAUAAGACUGAAUAGGCUCGCAAUCGUUGUAGGAAAACAAUAGCCUAAUAAAGAUCCCAUAGACUAUCAUAACCGCUGCUCAAAUUGGCGACUCUUCAUUUCUGUAUGCAGGCAUAAAAGAAGCACGUGGUACCCAGUGGGUCAACUGCUGAUCAAAACUGUAUGUGUCCCAGGGGAAGUGGGGGAGUGGGGUACAGCUCUGUCCUAACUCAUAUUUCAGUACAUAAUUCUCAGCUGAGGAAAGAUGGAAAAAUACUGCUUCUGUCUCAUCUGGUCCAUAGACCAGGUAACACAGACAUUAACCUUCUGAAAACCAUUUCCCUUUUUGAUCUGUAUGGGUAAAACUUGUCCACAGAAGCCUCCAAAGACACCAGAAGAGGCACCCUGUGACCUUGCUGUCCAGAUCUUUUUCAACUGUGUGCACAUGCUCAGUCGCUUCAGUCAUGUCUGACUCUUUGCCACCCCAUGGACUGUAGCCCACCAGGCUCCUCUGUCCGUGGGACUCUCCAGGCAAGAAUACUGGAG